rnacentral:tRNA from 1 species
UAGGUUUUAGUUAAAAUAAUAACAUUAGCUUGUCAUUCUAAAAUUGUUAAAAAUUAUAUAGCAAA